rnacentral:rRNA from 1 species
AGAGUUUGAUCAUGGCUCAGAACGAACGCUGGCGGCGUGGUUUAGGCAUGCAAGUCGAACGGUUCUUAACAUCACUCAAUUCAGCUUGCUGAGUUGAGCGUUGAGAAUAGUGGCGAAAGGGUGAGUAACGCAAGAGUAACCUACCUUAAAGCUGGGGAUAACCCACUGAAAAGUGAGCUAAUACCGAAUGUGGUCCAGCUUAGAUAACUAAGUUAGACUAAAGAUGGGGAUCCUUUGGACCUAUCGCUUUUUGAGGGGCUCUUGUCCUAUUAGCCUGUUGGUAAGGUAACGGCUUACCAAAGCUUUUAUGGGUAGCUGGUCUGAGAGGAUGAUCAGCCACACUGGGACUGAGACACUGCCCAGACUCCUACGGGAGGCUGCAGUCGAGAAUCUUUCGCAAUGGGGGAAACCCUGACGAAGCGACGCCGCGUGGAGGAUGAAGGCCUUCGGGUUGUAAACUCCUGUCACAUGGGAUGAAAAUCCUGUUGGUAAAUAAUCGACAGGACUGACAGUACCAUGAGAGGAAGCUCCGGCUAACUACGUGCCAGCAGCCGCGGUAAUACGUAGGGAGCAAGCGUUGUUCGGAUUUACUGGGCGUAAAGGGUGUGUAGGUGGUAGAGCAAGUCAGUUGUGAAAUCCUUCUGCUCAACAGAAGAACUGCAAUUGAUACUGCUUUACUAGAGUUUGGUAGAGGAGAGCGGAAUUCUCGGUGUAGCGGUGAAAUGCGUAGAUAUCGAGAAGAACACCUGCGGCGAAGGCGGCUCUCUGGACCUUCACUGACACUGAAACACGAAAGCGUGGGGAGCGAACGGGAUUAGAUACCCUAGUAGUCC